GAAAAGUUAGUUUAAAUAAAACAUUGUUUUGUCAAAACAAAAAUAUAACUAAUGUUAUACUUCUCU
rnacentral:tRNA from 1 species